GACGAACGCUGGCGGCGUGCCUAACACAUGCAAGUCGAGCGGGGUUGAAGCGAGGGGUAACUCGAGUUUCUACCUAGCGGCGGACGGGUGAGUAACGCGUGGGCAACCUGCCUCAAGGACUGGGAUAACAGCUCGAAAGGGCUGCUAAUACCGGAUAAGCCUAUGGCCUCGCAUGGGGCCAUGAGCAAAGGGGAAACCCGCCUUGAGAUGGGCCCGCGUCCCAUCAGCUAGUUGGUGAGGUGAAGGCUCGCCAAGGCGACGACGGGUAGCCGGCCUGAGAGGGUGACCGGCCACACUGGGACUGAGACACGGCCCAGACUCCUACGGGGGGCAGCAGUGGGGAAUCUUGCACAAUGGGCGAAAGCCUGAUGCAGCGACGCCGCGUGAGCGAAGAAGGCCUGGUUGUAAAGCUCUGUCUGGAGGGACGAAGGAAGUGACGGUACCUCCGGAGGAAGCCACGGCUAACUACGUGCCAGCAGCCGCGGUAAUAUCA
rnacentral:rRNA from 1 species